rnacentral:rRNA from 1 species
UCGAGAAUUUUUCACAAUGGGCGCAAGCCUGAUGGAGCGACGCCGCGUGGGGGAUGAAUGGCUUCGGCCCGUAAACCCCUGUCAUUUGCGAACAAUUCGUUUUACCUAACAAGUGGAACGUUGAUAGUAGCGAAAGAGGAAGGGACGGCUAACUCUGUGCCAGCAGCCGCGGUAAUACAGAGGUCCCAAGCGUUGUUCGGAUUCACUGGGCGUAAAGGGUGCGUAGGUGGCGAAGUAAGUCGGAUGUGAAAGCUCGGAGCUCAACUCCGAAAUGGCAUUGGAAACUACUUUGCUUGAGGAUUGGAGGGGGGACUGGAAUGCUUGGUGUAGCAGUGAAAUGCGUAGAUAUCAAGCGGAACACCAGUGGCGAAGGCGAGUCCCUGGACAAUUCCUGACACUGAGGCACGAAAGCUAGGGGAGCAAACAGGAUUAGAUACCCCCGUAGUCC